rnacentral:lncRNA from 1 species
CUGCCUUGCACUUAGGGAAGGUUCACAUGCCUCAAGGAUCUCUCUCUCUCAGAUUUCUUGACUUUCCCUCAGUCUUCAGUAUAGUCCUCCUCUGUGCCUGGUGAAGACCUGUGGUAAAGUGCUGGCAGAGAGGAAGCUAAAUCACGUAAAAAUUAAGAAACAGCUCAGCGUUUCACAGCUAGGCUAGGCUUACACCCAAUUUAUGGUCAUCUUGCUCAUGCUCAUCCUGCACAAUUUCUAGCAUUUGGAGAAUGUUUCUCAUGGUAGCAUCUAAUGCCUGUGGCUGCUGAGAGAAAGCAGCGAUGAGGGGAAGACACUGACCUCUGUUUGGAUGUGGUGUGCCUGGGAAUAAUGUCACCAAUAGCAUAAGAAUUAAUGUCUACUAUGAUGCUGAAAUAAAUAAACUGGUAAAACUACUCUGCUGUCUAAAUCCCCAAGUUACAAAUUUACAGAGCUGCCGGCUUCCCCUUGAAGGAAUAGGAGUAGACCUGCUGAACUAUCACAUGAGAGAAGAGGCCCAAAAGCUUGCACACUACAGUCAAGCUGGCCCUUAAAGAGAUGGACCUAGAAGAUGCUGAGCCAGAUGUACUCAAUUACUUCUCCAAAAUUCAUCAAUUAGGAAUACAACAUGUUUAAGACCACAGAACAUCUGCAUAGGCUGUAAAUUUCGUUGAAUGAUGGAUGCAAAGAUGGAAGACAGAUGGAUAGAGGAAAAGACAGAAUCAGAUACUGGAUGAGUUAGUACUGCUGCCUGUGCUUCAGAGCUGUCUUAUUACCACAAGGCCGGCAAGCAUCAAUGUCCCCACAUCCCCCUCUGCCUCCCCCUGAAAUGUACCGAUUUAUAUGAAAAUUAAGAUUACAAAUUAAAGCCUGGCUAUCCUGGAGUUUUCCAGUUCAUCAGCCAUCCAAUAAAAAUGAUGUCAAGCCUGUAUGCAUAAUUCCCGGAAGAUUACUUUCGUCCUUACAGCUAAGCCCUGUCCCUGAUAUGAAAGAUCUCUAUCCACUUUUAUUGAAAUAAAGAACUAACAUCAUAAUCCCAAUAUUGAGGUAUAAUCUUCAUUAUCUCCUGACCCUCUUGAGGUUCCCCCAAUCUAUAUUACUUCAGAUUUGGUUUAUGUGUAAUCCUUAUGUAUUUACUUUUAUUGAGAUAGGAUUAAAAACUAAAAAAAAAGCUUCAAAAAAU